rnacentral:rRNA from 1 species
AAGACUUUAGAUAUGAUCCAGAGUACCACGGGACACGUGAAACCCUGUGGGAAGCAGGAGGGACCACCCUCCAAGGCUAAAUACUACCUAGUGACCGAUAGCGUAUAGUACCGUGAGGGAAAGGUGAAAAGAACCCCGGGAGGGGAGUGAAAUAGAACCUGAAACCCUGCACUUACAAGCUGUGGAAGCACAUUUCUUGUGUGACCGCGUACUUUUUGUAGAACGGGCCAACGAGUUACGUUAAGUAGCAAGGUUAAGCACUUAAGGUGCGGAGCCGUAGCGAAAGCGAGUUUUAACUGAGCGUUCAGUUACUUGACGUAGACCCGAAACCGGGCGACCUACCCAUGAGCAGGAUGAAGCGAAAGUAAAAUUUCGUGGAGGUCCGAACCCACGAGCGUUGAAAAGCUCGGGGAUGACUUGUGGGUAGCGGUGAAAUUCCAAUCGAGCCCGGAGAUAGCUGGUUCUCCCCGAAAUAGCUUUAGGGCUAGCCUCAAGGUGAGAGAUACGGAGGUAGAGCACUGAAUGUCCUAGGGG